UGGGGAAUUUUGGGCAAUGGGCGAAAGCCUGAUCCAGCAAUGCCGCGUGUGUGAAGAAGGCCUUCGGGUUGUAAAGCACUUUUGUCCGGAAAGAAAUGGCUCUGGUUAAUACCUGGGGUCGAUGACGGUACCGGAAGAAUAAGGACCGGCUAACUACGUGCCAGCAGCCGCGGUAAUACGAAGGGUCCAAGCGUUAAUCGGAAUUACUGGGCGUAAAGCGUGCGCAGGCGGUUGUGCAAGACCGAUGUGAAAUCCCCGGGCUUAACUUGGGAAUUGCAUUGGUGACUGCACGGCUAGAGUGUGUCAGAGGGGGGUAGAAUUCCACGUGUAGCAGUGAAAUGCGUAGAGAUGUGGAGGAAUACCGAUGGCGAAGGCAGCCCCCUGGGAUAACACUGACGCUCAUGCACGAAAGCGUGGGGAGCAAACAG
rnacentral:rRNA from 1 species